UCGGGAAUUUUGGGCAAUGGGCGAAAGCCUGACCCAGCAACGCCGCGUGAAGGAUGAAGUAUUUCGGUAUGUAAACUUCGAAAGAAUAGGAAGAAUAAAUGACGGUACUAUUUAUAAGGUCCGGCUAACUACGUGCCAGCAGCCGCGGUAAUACGUAGGGACCAAGCGUUGUUCGGAUUUACUGGGCGUAAAGGGCGCGUAGGCGGCAUGACAAGUCACUUGUGAAAUCUCUGGGCUUAACCCAGAACGGCCAAGUGAUACUGUCGCGCUAGAGUGCAGAAGGGGCAAUCGGAAUUCUUGGUGUAGCGGUGAAAUGCGUAGAUAUCAAGAGGAACACCUGGGGUGAAGACGGGUUGCUGGGCUGACACUGACGCUGAGGCGCGAAAGCCAGGGGAGCAAACGGGAUUAGAUACCCCAGUAGUCCCUGAGCGGGCUGGCAAGGCGCAU
rnacentral:rRNA from 1 species